UCGCAUCAGCGUUGGCUCUGCUGGCGA
rnacentral:sRNA from 1 species